rnacentral:rRNA from 1 species
UACGGAGGGUGCAAGCGUUAAUCGGAAUUACUGGGCGUAAAGCGCACGCAGGUGGCUGAGUCAGUCGAUUGUGAAAUCCCCCGGGCUCAACCUGGGAAUGGCGAUGGUGACUGCAAGGCUAGAGUUUGGCAGAGGGGGGUAGAAUUCCACGUGUAGCAGUGAAAUGCGUAGAUAUGUGGAGGAACACCGAUGGCGAAGGCAGCCCCCUGGGUCAAAACUGACGCUCAUGCACGAAAGCGUGGGGAGCAAACAGG